ensembl:lncRNA
UUUUGCUGCUGCAGAUAUCUGAGAAUGUCUAUGAGGAGGACGUCCUCCAACAGCAGCUUCUCCUCCUUCGCCGUGGUUUGGAUGGGUUCUCUGCACAUGUGGUUUGAUGGACAGGAGUCCUGAUGUGAUGGACAUGUGAUGGUCCAUAGGCGUAACCACGCAUUCUUUGGGGGGGGUCGUGUCCCCCCCAAUAUUGAAAAGGCGUCACAGAGAGACGGGGAAAGAGACAGGCAAGAUGAAAGCAGUGGCCACACAGGGACAAGCUCUGGACAUGCAGAUGAUCAGGGGCAGCAAUGGAAAUGAAACUGUGAUCCACUCCCACUAUUUAGCCUCCAUUGUAGCCUCCACCCUGUACCUGUUAGCUACAUCAUGUAGUGUCCUACCAAGAGGACCGUCUCUGUGUUCCUGCUUAGCCAUUGAGUCCCUCUAUAAGACAAAGAUGGUCAGACACAAAGCAUUCGCUUUGAUUACCUCUUUGCCUCCACACUUGCUCCUUAAUGCUACGCCUCUUUCUAUGUGCUGUGUGUGGGCACCUGUUUGGGCAUCUACAUGCCACCUUGCAUGAUUCAGUCAUAUGAUUGUAGCCAAGUGCAUGCAGGGAACGAUAAGCACGCCAUUCAUCACUAAUGAUGUUUGAUCCUAUCCUGACAUGAUGUGCAUUCAGUGGCACAAGGUCCUCUUCUUUCUACAAGGCGCAGCACCGGCUUCGCUCUCUUGCUCCUCUGCUGCUGCACACCAAGCACGCCGAAGACCCAUUUCCAUCUUCUCCAU